GAAUGUGCCAGGGUCAAGUCUGUACUGAUUUUCAUGGUGAAUAGAUUACAUGCUUGCAUUCAUGUUCACUUCCGAAGCGCUUAGUGUCUUCCUUCCCUUACUUAAAUAUUAACCUCAAAUACCCUGUGCAGCUUCAGCCAAGCUUCACUGGAGGUAGCUCACAAUGUCGAGUUCCCGGGAAACAG
rfam:Patagioenas fasciata monilis isolate BTP2013 Sc31e1R_64, whole genome shotgun sequence.